rnacentral:rRNA from 1 species
AGACCCGAAACCCGGUGAUCUAGCCAUGGGCAGGUUGAAGGUUGGGUAACACUAACUGGAGGACCGAACCGACUAAUGUUGAAAAAUUAGCGGAUGACCUGUGGCUGGGGGUGAAAGGCCAAUCAAACCGGGAGAUAGCUGGUUCUCCCCGAAAGCUAUUUAGGUAGCGCCUCGUGAAUUCAUCUCCGGGGGUAGAGCACUGUUUCGGCCAGGGGGCCAUCCCGGCUUACCAAUCCGAUGCAAACUGCGAAUACCGGAGAAUGUUAUCACGGGAGACACACGGCGGGUGCUAACGUCCGUCGUGAAGAGGGAAACAACCCAGACCGCCAGCUAAGGUCCCAAAGUCAUGGUUAAGUGGGAAACGAUGUGGGAAGGCCCA